rnacentral:rRNA from 1 species
CAGAGGGUGCGAGCGUUAAUCGGAAUUACUGGGCGUAAAGCGCGCGUAGGCGGCUUUGCAAGUCGGGUGUGAAAUCCCCAGGCUUAACCUGGGAACUGCAUUCGAGACUGCAUGGCUAGAGUAUGGGAGAGGGAAGUGGAAUUUCAGGUGUAGCGGUGAAAUGCGUAGAUAUCUGAAGGAACAUCAGUGGCGAAAGCGACUUCCUGGACCAAUACUGACGCUCAUGUGCGAAAGCGUGGGGAGCAAACAGGAUUAGAUACCCUGGUAGUCCACGCCAUAAACGAUGAGAACUGGAUGUCGGGGGGGCUGCCCCUCGGUGUCGUAGCUAACGCGUUAAGUUCUCCGCCUGGGGAGUACGGCCGCAAGGUUG